rnacentral:misc_RNA from 1 species
UCCCACUUCUCGUACAUAAGUUUUCAUCGUCAUAAACAAUUUUCUACCAUAAAUUCACACACAAAAGAAAGAAUUUAGAUACGCACCAUUUCUAGUCUUAUUAUGGGUAUGGACAACUGGUCUCUGCUUAGCCGCCUCAAGAGGGCAGUAAGAAAGGUCAAGAUUAUCCUUAAUCUUGAUAUCAACCGGUGGCGUGUGGUGGCUUCUUUGAUCGGUGCUUCUCCGACCAAGCAUCGGUUUAGCUUCAAUGAAAGACCAGGGUUAAGGGAUUGUACGGUCUAUACGGAAGAAUUAGAAGAUUCAUCAGUUUCAGGUAAUUCUUCAAUGGGAUUACACAGAACUGUUAGCUACCCAUCAGAAGAUGAUAUUGAUAAGAGAGCUGAAAUGUUCAUAGAAAAAUUUCGCCGGCAACUUCAGAUUGAGAGGCAGAUUUCUUUGGAGCUCAAGUAUUUGCAGGGAAAUAGUAGCUUCAAAUUGAGAUCUCCAUGAAGAGACUGAUUGAAGUUUCUGGUGAUGGAGCCUAUGUUUUAUGAGAGGAUUUUCUAUUGCCGAUUUGUAAUUACAAUUAAUGGUUCUGCCUUUUUCUGCUGGGACUUGGAUUCACUGCUAAGAAAUGAAGCAUGGAAGAAAGAUGGAAUUACAGGGUUUUAUGCUUUUGCCAAUCAAAUCAAUUAUUUUCUUUUUUUCAGAAAAUUACAUAUUUUCUGUGAAUCAUUUUUAUCUAAAAAAUGGUGAAAUAUUGUAUUUUGG